UUUAACCAGGUUUUCCGAAGGAAAAAACUGGUUAUUAGAUUGGCGAAUGCGGGCGGGCUGGCUGGCUGGCUGGCGGGCUGGCUGGCGGGCUGGCGGGCUGGCGGAAUAAGCUUGUCCGGGCCAUAACUAUGUCGUUCAUUGUCAGAUUUUAACAUCAUUUGGCACAUUUGUUCACCAUCAUUGGACGGUGUGUCGCGCGAAAUAAUUACGUCGAUAUCUCCAAGGUCAAGGUCACACUUUGAGUUCAAAGGUCAAAAAUGGCCAUAAAUGAGCUUGUCCUGGCCAUAACUAUGUCAUUCAUUGUGAGAUUUUAAAAUCAUUUGGCACAUUUGUUCACCAUCAUGGGACGGUGUGUCCAACGAAAGAAUCACGUCAAUAUCUCCAAUGUCAAGGUCGC